CAAGGUGUAGCUCAGUGAUAGAGCAGUUGCCUAGCAAAUACAAAUAAGACCUGGGUUCAAUCCCCAGCACCUCAU
rnacentral:tRNA from 1 species